rnacentral:misc_RNA from 1 species
ACAAACUUGGUCAUUUAGAGGAAGUAAAAGUCGUAACAAGGUCUCCGUUGGUGAACCAGCGGAGGGAUCAUUACAGAGUUGUAAAACUCCCAACCCUUUGUGAACGAACCUACUAGUUGCCUCGGCGGCGAGCCUUUUAGGCGGACCGCCGGAGGAAUAUAAACUCUUUGCAUUUUAGUAUCUCUGAUUACUUAUUCAAUAAGUUAAAACUUUCAACAACGGAUCUCUUGGUUCUGGCAUCGAUGAAGAACGCAGC